GACGAACGCUGGCGGCGUGCUUAACACAUGCAAGUCGAACGGAAAGGCCUUUUCGGAGGUACUCGAGUGGCGAACGGGUGAGUAACACGUGGGUGAUCUGCCCUGCACUCUGGGAUAAGCCUGGGAAACUGGGUCUAAUACCGGAUAGGACCGCACUUUAGUGUGUGUGGUGGAAAGUUUUUUCGGUGUAGGAUGAGCCCGCGGCCUAUCAGCUUGUUGGUGGGGUAAUGGCCUACCAAGGCGGCGACGGGUAGCCGGACUGAGAGGUUGGUCGGCCACAUUGGGACUGAGAUACGGCCCAGACUCCGACGGGAGGCAGCAGUGGGGAAUAUUGCACAAUGGGCGCAAGCCGGAUGCAGCGACGCCGCGGGGGGGAUGACGGCCUUCGGGUUGUAAACUCCUUUCGCCAGGGACGAAGCGUUUUGUGACGGUACCUGGAGAAGAAGCACCGGCUAACUACGUG
rnacentral:rRNA from 1 species